GCUACGGGAACCCUGGGA
rnacentral:misc_RNA from 1 species